rnacentral:rRNA from 1 species
CCUACGGGAGGCAGCAGUGAGGAAUAUUGGUCAAUGGACGAGAGUCUGAACCAGCCAAGUAGCGUGAAGGAUGACUGCCCUAUGGGUUGUAAACUUCUUUUAUAAAGGAAUAAAACGAGGCACGUGUGCCUUUUUGCAUGUACUUUAUGAAUAAGGAUCGGCUAACUCCGUGCCAGCAGCCGCGGUAAUACGGAGGAUCCGAGCGUUAUCCGGAUUUAUUGGGUUUAAAGGGAGCGUAGAUGGGUUGUUAAGUCAGUUGUGAAAGUUUGCGGCUCAACCGUAAAAUUGCAAUUGAUACUGGCAGUCUUGAGUACAGUUGAGGUAGGCGGAAUUCGUGGUGUAGCGGUGAAAGGCUUAGAUAUCACGAAUAACCCCGAUUGCGAAGGCAGCUUACUAAACUGUGACUGACAUUGAUGCUCGAAAGUGUGGGUAUCAAACAGGAUUAGAUACCCGUGUAGUC